rnacentral:rRNA from 1 species
AAUGGGGUCCUCCCUGAGGACGUGACGGCACAUAUCAAUGGCGGGCCUUAUGGCUUGCCAAUUGAAAUGGGGGCGAUUUAGAUCACCCACCGAGUAACAACUGGAGGACAAGUCCGGUGCCAGCACCCGCGGUAAUUCCGGCUCCAGUAGCAUCUAAUUAAGUUGCUGCAGUUAAAACGCUCGUAGCCUCGCAAGGGGCGUCUUGGACGGUCGGUAGCGGCCUGUGUGCCGGCUUGCGCGGGGGCGCUCACGCGCCUCCCCCUGCCGGUGCCUGAUCGUGAAAGCUGCGCUGGGGCGCCCCACCGCCGGUCGCCUGGCCUGCCAGUUUAGUUACUGGAGGGGCCGGGCCCGGCAUCUUACUUUGAGUAAAUUUAAGCGCUCAAAGCAGGCCGCUCGGCCCUACAAAUUUCAGCAAAGAAUAACGGUACUCUGAUAGGUUCCGCCCUAAAAGGUAUGUAUCGUUGGUAAGUAUGGGGCAUUGGUUGGACCUGUAGGGGAGAUCGGGGCUGACCGCAUCGCGGGGGUAGGGGUGAAAUCCGUUGAUCCUCGCGAGGCGUCCAAAAGCGAAAGCAGUCAGCAAGUACUUCUCCGCUGGUCAAGAACGAAAGUGAGGGGAUCGAAGACGAUUAGAUACCGUCGUAGUCCUCACCCUAAAUGAUGUCGGCCAUGGAUGGGCCCGUAGUCCUCUCGACGGGGUCCGGACCUUGUGAGAAAUCAUCAAGCGUUUGGGCUCUGGGGGGAGUAUGUUUGCAAGAAUGAAACUUAAAGGAAUUGACGGAAGAGCACACAAGGAGUGGAGCCUGCGGCUUAAUUUGACUCAACACGGGAAAACUUACUAGAGCAACAGAGCACGAUGAUGGUCAGAGGAACAGCCCUUACCAGAUCGGCUCAAUGGUGGUGCAUGGUCGUUCUUAGUUCGUGGGUUGACUUGUCUGGUCAAUUCCGCUAACGAGCGAGAACCUGUCUUCCCUAUGUUGGCCCCCCCGGCUUGGUGCAGGGAAGUGCGAUGCUGGCGGAGGCCGCAAGGCCACUGCUGCGGAGCGCCCAGCGCCCUCGUCGCCGGCGGGCGUGCCCUAGGGGAACCGGAUGCGUCAAGCGUCUGGAAGCAGGUCAAUAACAGGUCAGUGAUGCCCUUAGAUGCUCUAGGCUGCACGCGCGCUACAAUGGGGGGUUGAGCGGGUGUCCGGACGCCUGAAGGCGAUCGGUAAUCCUGCAAGGCCUCUCUAGUCCGGGCUAGGCGCCUGCAAAAGGCGCCUUCAACAAGGAAUUUCUAGUAGGCACGCGUCAUUAGCGCGUGCCGAUUAUGUCCCUGCUCUUUGUACACACCGCCCGUCGCUCCUACCGAUUGAGCUGGCCUGUGAGGAUUGUGGAGGGAGUCGGUAACGGCACCCGAAGCGCUUCAAAUGGAUCGGCUUAGAGGAAGGAGAAGUCGUAACAAGGUAUCCGUAGGUGAACCUGCGGAUG